rnacentral:ncRNA from 1 species
AUCCUAGCCUUAUUAUUGAUGCUUCCUCAACUUACACAUGCAAGUCUCAGCACACCCGUGAGUAACGCCCCCGUGAUACUUACUGUCGCAAGGAGCAGGUGUCAGGCACAACCAAUUGCCCACAAUACCUAGUCUAACCACGCCCCCAAGGGUAUUCAGCAGUGAUAAAUAUUGGAUAUGAGCGAAAGCUUGAUUCAGUCGGAGGAAAGAGAGCUGGCCAACCUCGUGCCAGCCGCCGCGGCUACACCAGGGGCUCGAGUUAAUAAUCAUCGGCGUUAAGCGUGAAUAAAGUCUAAACAAAUUAGGGUUAAAUUGAUACUUAGUAGUGAUAAGCUUGCUAUCAAGAAAAACAAAAACGAAAGUUACCCUAUUUAUUAUACUUAAGUACACGACAGCUAUGAACACAAACUGGGAUUAGAGACCCCAUUAUGCUUAGCCGUAAAUAAUCAACUUACACCAACCAACGCCAGGGGACUACGAGCAGCGCUUAAAACCCAAAGGACUUGACGGUGUCCUAACCAACUAGAGGAGCCUGUUCUAGAAUCGAUGAUCCCCGCUACACCCAACCACUCCUAGCUUUUUCAGCCUGUAUACCUCCGUCGAAAGUUUACCAUGUGAAUGUCAUCAGUAGACCCAAUGAUUCCCCGUCAAUAUGUCAGGUCAAGGUGCAGCCCAAGGAGUGGGCUGAAAUGGGCUACAAUUUCUAAAUUAGAACACACGGAUAGCUAUGUGAAAUCAUAGGCUUGAAGGCGGAUUUAGUAGUAAAAAGAAAAUAGAGAGUUCUUUUUAACCCGGCUCUGGGACGUGUACACACCGCCCGUCACCCUCUUCGAUAAAUUUAACUACAGUUCCUAACCCAUCUUUACCCCCUUAGAAGAGGUAAGUCGUAACACGGUAAGUAUACUGGAAAGUGUACUUAGAUCACUA